AGGUAGUGACAAGAAAUAGCGAUAUGGUACUUUUGUGCCGUAAUUGCAAUGAGUUGAUGUUAAAUCUCUCAACGAGUAACGAUUGGAGGGCAAGUCUGGUGCCAGCAGCCGCGGUAAUUCCAGCUCCAAUAGCGUAUAUUAAAGUUGUUGCAGUUAAAAAGCUCGUAGUUGGAUUUCUGUCUUUUGGUGAACCAACAACCUAGUGUUGAUGUGUGAAUCAUAGACAUUAUUCUACUGGAUAGUGGUAACACUAUGUUGGUAGAGCCUUUACUUUGAGAAAAUUAGAGUGUUUCAAGCAAGCGUUUGCUUUGAAUACUACAGCAUGGAAUAAUACAAUAGGACUUCGGACCUAUUUGUUGGUUUCUAGGUUUGAAGUAAUGGUUAAUAGGGACA
rnacentral:rRNA from 1 species